rnacentral:rRNA from 2 species
GACGAACGCUGGCGGCGUGCUAAUACAUGCAAGUCGAACGCACUCUCGUUUAGAUUGAAGGAGCUUGCUCCUGAUUGAUAAACAUUUGAGUGAGUGGCGGACGGGUGAGUAACACGUGGGUAACCUGCCCUAAAGUGGGGGAUAACAUUUGGAAACAGAUGCUAAUACCGCAUAAAACCUAACACCGCAUGGUGUAGGGUUGAAAGAUGGUUUCGGCUAUCACUUUAGGAUGGACCCGCGGUGCAUUAGUUAGUUGGUGAGGUAAAGGCUCACCAAGACCGUGAUGCAUAGCCGACCUGAGAGGGUAAUCGGCCACACUGGGACUGAGACACGGCCCAGACUCCUACGGGAGGCAGCAGUAGGGAAUCUUCCACAAUGGACGAAAGUCUGAUGGAGCAACGCCGCGUGAGUGAAGAAGGUUUUCGGAUCGUAAAACUCUGUUGUUGGAGAAGAAUGUAUCUGAUAGUAACUGAUCAGGUAGUGACGGUAUCCAACCAGAAAGCCACGGCUAACUACGUGCCAGCAGCCGCGGUAAUACGUAGGUGGCAAGCGUUGUCCGGAUUUAUUGGGCGUAAAGCGAGCGCAGGCGGUUUCUUAAGUCUGAUGUGAAAGCCUUCGGCUCAACCGAAGAAGUGCAUCGGAAACUGGGAAACUUGAGUGCAGAAGAGGACAGUGGAACUCCAUGUGUAGCGGUGAAAUGCGUAGAUAUAUGGAAGAACACCAGUGGCGAAGGCGGCUGUCUGGUCUGUAACUGACGCUGAGCUCGAAAGCAUGGGUAGCAACAGGAU